GUCAGUUCAUAUCUCAAAUCAGGGCAAUAAGUAUUUCAAACAAGGAAACUAUGAUGAAGCAAUCGAAUGUUACACACGAGGGAUGCAUGCUGAUCCGUACAAUCCAGUCUUGCCCACAAACAGAGCAUCAUCUUUCUUUAGAAUGAAAAAGUAUUCUGUUGCUGAAUCUGACUGCAAUUUAGCACUUGCACUAGAUAAGAAUUAUACAAAGGCUUAUGCCAGAAGAGGAGCUGCUCGCUUUGCUUUGAAAAAUCUUCAGGGUGCCAAAGAAGAUUAUCAAAAGGUUUUAGAAUUGGAUCCAAAUAACUUUGAAGCGAAAAAUGAACUGAGAAAAAUAGAUCAGGCUGUAAUGUCAAAAGACGAUUCAAAACCAACAGAACAUGAAGAAGUUGUCAAAAAGCAUGAAUUAACAGAACAAGAAAAGCAGCAAAUUGAACAGCAGCAGCUCAAACAGAAGGCUAUUGCAGAAAAGGACUUGGGUAAUGGAUAUUUCAAAGAAGGGAAAUAUGAAGCAGCGAUAGAAUGCUAUACACGGGGUAUAACAGCAGAUGGCACCAACGCAAUUCUGCCAGCUAACAGAGCUAUGGCCUAUCUAAAGAUUCAGAAAUAUGAAGAGGCAGAAGAUGACUGUACUCAAGCUUUACUGUUAGAUGCAUCCUAUUCCAAAGCUUUUGCCAGAAGAGGAACUGCUCGAGUAGCACUAGGAAAGCUAAGAGAAGCUAUGCAAGAUUUUGAAACUGUUUUGAAGCUUGAACCUGGCAAUAAGCAAGCAAUAAGUGAACUAAGUAAAAUACAGAACGAACUGGUUGAAAAAGGGCUAUACACCCAACUGGAAUGUCCUGGAACAUCAGCAACAGAAAUCCCAAACCUGGUGAAACCCAUUGAUAAACCUUUACAUCUUAGAUCAACUAAACCUUUGAGAAGGAUAGUCAUUGAAGAAGUUGAUGAUAGUGAUAGUGAUUUACCUAAUACUACUUCUGUAGUCAGUAAUCGGAUUAACUCUACAUGUGUAGAAACAACAAAGAGUUCAAACCAAGAUGAUCUCUUAACCACAACUGAUACUCCAAAAGCAAAACAGCUGAAAAUAGAAGAAAUUAGUGAUACACCAGCCAUCCAACUUGUUAAUGAGGUGAAAGAAAUUACAUCACCUCCACCUCAGUUUUUCAAUCUCAAAAACCACAUAGAAAAGGAAAAUGAAACAUUACCUCCUAUAUCCACAUCUCCUGUUCCUGCAAUCCCAGCAAAUUCAUUUCAGCUCGAAUCUGAUUUCAGAAAAUUGAAAGGCUGUCCAGAUAAGAUGUACUUGUACCUUAAGCAAAUAGAGCCUUCGCUUUAUCCAAAACUGUUCCAGAAAUCAUUAGAUCCAGAUGUAUUUAACCAGAUUUUGAAAAUUCUGCAUGAUUUUUACAUUGAGAAAGAAGAGCCAUCCAUCACACUUGACAUUCUCCAGCGGCUGUCUGAAUUAAAAAGAUUUGAUAUGGCAGUGAUGUUUAUGUCAGACUCUGAGAAAAAAAGCAGUAUGCACAUCACUGGGCUAGUGUCAGGCUCCUUCUUGUUUUUUCCCUUUGCCCCCUCAUCUUUUUCCCUCUUGACUCCUCAAUGGGUCAGCUUCAAGAUGAGGAUGAAAGAAGAAUUUGGUUCUGCCUAGCCCAUGGUCUGGUACUUGAGCACUCUCCUAGGAAGUGGAAGAUAUGGGUUAAAAUCCCCAAAAGUUUGAACCCAAGUGUCCCACUCCCUAGUUCCUUGACCACUAGGAGGUUGUGCUAAAAGCUGCACAUGUAUUGUUCAGUCACUUGAACCAGUCAGGAUUGAAGGAUAAUUCUGUUGAAGAACUGAAGAAGAAAUACGGUCUUGGCUAUUAAUAGGCUUACUAAUGUUACAUAUUUGUAUAUGUAGUUUAGAGUAAUUCUCCACGUUUUUUUGUGAGCACCCAUGUAGAAAUUGGUGGGGAGUUGCAUCCAUAAAGACUCGAGUUGUGUUUUAUAAUAAAAUCCUUAAACCUGCUUUAGCCAAAUGGCAAGUGCCUGAAGAGGAUAAUGACCUGGGUCCUGAUUCUGCAAUUAUGUCUUCUUGUUGACCUUUCACCCAUACAGGAAUCCAUUGGCUUCACUGGGACUGCCCAACAGAAGGGUCUGCUUGUAUGGAUGGUCUUUCACAAUCAGGGCCAUCAACUGAGUUGUUGCUGAAAAAUGCAUUUGUUAUUUAUAAACGUGUCCCUUUUUGUAAGAAUCAAAUGAUUUUUUGAUUAUUAUUAAAGAUCAGCAUGAGUUAAUUUCAAAAAUAUACUAAAUGCUUAAUU